AACUAUCUUACACAGGAAUGCAAUGUUCCUAGCAAACAUCAUCAGUGGCAUUCUGCCAGUUGGAUUAAUUUACCACAGGGAAUUGAAAAGUUAACAGUUUGUAUUAAACUUCAUCGUAAGUAACUCUCACAGGGGAUCUCAGGGUUUACAACAGAGUUUUCAACAGUCCAGGAAAAAAGACGAUAGAGCCUAGUCAAGUCAGGAUAUGCUGAAGUAAUUAAAUCAAUGUGACAAACUGGAUGAAAACAAUAGGCAAUUUAUAAGUUCUAAAGGGACAACAAAUUUUUCGGACAUCAACUAUUUGAGCUUUGGUAUUUCUUCUGAAUUUCAGAUGGUGAUGAGGAGGUGUACAGGAGUGAGAUAGAUCAGCUGGUUGAGUGGCACUCAAAGUCAAUAAGCCCAAGCAAUUGAUUGUGGACUUCAGGAAGGGCAACUCGAAGGAACACACACAAGUCCUCAUUGAGCGAACAGCAGUGGAAAGGUAGGGACCACACCCAAGUCCUCAAAAGGACAAUGUCUGUGAAACUGCACUUUGCCUCUCCUGCUGAUUCUAGUGGGCUCAAUCGCAGUCGUUCGUUCACUGGAUUUGGUUCACUGACAAGUAGAAGAUCCCAGGCUUCUUUUGUUAGUAGAAGUUCUCCAUUGUCAAGAAAUUCUUCAGUAAAAUCAACAAAGAGGCAAGUGACGUCACCAAAAAACUCUAGCACCUUGGAGCCACAGCCAGUCCGUGUGGAGAAAAUAUGCAAAUCAUUAAGGAAAGGCCUGAACAAUUAUCUUAAAUCAUACCAAAAUGAAUUGGAUUUGCUGACCAUGCAACAAAAAGACAUGAAAAAGAACUCCAGAUUGGCUUUUUUAUAUGAUCUAGAUAAGCAAAUUAGAAGUACUGAGAGAUACAUCAGGAAAUUGGAAUUUCACAUCAGCAGGAUAGAAGAAUUGUAUGAGUCCUACUUCAUCCAAUGGCGUCUACGCAAUGGGGCCAACAACAUGAGAAGAGCUUACUCAGUGUCUCCUUCUACCAAAGGAUCACGGGAGACACUGCUGGAGAUUAAUAGGAACUACAAGUUAUGUACAGAGGAUAUGUGUGUGAUAGAGAGGACACUGGAGAUUCUCCUUGGUGAAUUUCACAUCAGAAUGAAAGGUUUGAUUGGCUUUGCUCGCUUAUGUCCCGGAGAUCAUUAUGAGGUAUUGUUUCGGUAUGGUCGACAGAGAUGGAAGUUAAAAGGAAAAAUCAAUGCUGAUGACAGACAAACAUGGGAUGAAGAAGAGAUGGUCUUCAUUCCUCACCUUAAUGAAGAUAUUGAAAUCAAGGUUGCUGAAAUGAAAGGGCUGAUGACUGUUUUGGUUGGAAGCGUUACUUGUGAAAGUGCAGAUUUUUUUACAGCACUGCCCCAGAUAAUGGUUGUGGAUAUUACUGACUUAGGCACUAUUAAACUUCAGCUGGAAGUCACGUGGGAUCCAUUUGAUGCUGAUGAAAUAUCAGUAACAUCUGGCUCAGUAUCCAAAUUCUCUUGGCCAAGUCGUAAAGGCUCUGUGUACAACUGGACACCUCCCAGCACCCCCAGCUUCAAGGACAAGUACUUCUCUAGACACAUUGGACAAGAGGACAAACUGCCUACAUUACAUCAGGAAACAAAAGGAACUUUCAAUUUUAAUCACUCAGGAAAUUGCUUCCACAAUACACUUUUGUCAUCUGUGCCUGAAAAUGAGAAAUUUUAUAAUUAUGCAAAUAUAGAUAAACAAGGAGCCAGUGACAAUAGGCAUGAUUCAUUAGCUUUCCAAGAAGCACACAGGGAAUUCUCCCAAAGCUUCCAGGAUGGUCUUUCUACAGAAAAAACUCUGCAAUCAACACAUGUAGAACCAAAACCUCCCAAUCAAAGGAAAUUUCAAAAUGAUUCACUACAAGCCAGACGAUUUCAAAGUUGUUCAGCUUUGACAGAAUCUAUUUUUCACACAGGACCACAGCCGAGGUUUCAGUGGCCCACUGAGAAACCUGCUGGACAGGAGUCAACUUGUCGAGUCUGGAGCACAGAACUUACAGAUCUAUUCAGUUCACAGAGAUCAACAACAUCCUGUAAACACAAAAAAACCACUUCAAUCUGUUCUGAAAUUUCCAAGACAGAUUACAUUUCAGUAGAUAUAGGAACCAUCCUUCAAGAAAUAUUGAUUACUCUAAGGACAGAGCACAGAAACCACAAGGAAUUACAAAAUCUAGAGCGACAGGUUCUGCACUUAGGAGAUAUUCUUAAGAAAGAAGUUGCAGAGAGCAAAAAUGCAUCUACUAUCAGUCUGAAUGUUGAAACAGUCCUAGAAAGCUUCAAUUUCCUAAAUGCUGACUCACUUGAAGAUAAUCUUUCAUGCAAUGGGAGUGUUAGGAUGAAGCAUGUAAAAUAUGGCACAUACAAUAAAAGUAAUGUUUGUCAGUUUACCAAGAGUGGAGAUUUAGGAAUUAAGGCAGCAGGAUCAUUUGCCCUGACAUCAAGGAACCUGUGUCUUGAUAACAUCCUUUUAGCACACCUGCAGAUAUGCAAGAGGCUUCUACAGAGAUUUUCAUCAAUUGAUUCUGUAUUGGUCAUUGAGAACUGUAUAUUAGAGGAACUCUCUCAGCAGAUCCAGGUGUUGGAAGCUCUAGCUCCAUUCUGUUAUGAGAAGUCAGAAAAUAUUAAAUCAGUGGAAGAAGUCAUUCCAAGAUCAAAGAAUAUCAAAUCAGUCCUGUCAUUCUGGGGUAAAUGUACAGAAGGAGAAUGUAUUUUACAUUUAUCAGCUGAACAGUUCCUCACACAGCUGAGAAAUAGCUAUACACAGAAAGUGACUGCAAAAUACCCAGGACAGACAGAGAGAGUAUUCAGAACACUUCUGCACCAGAUUGUCAGCUGUUGUGAAUUACUGCCUUGCCCUAAUGUUGCAGAGGAAUCGGUGACAGUCUUCCAGUUUUUCAACUAUGUUAAAAAGUACAAUAUUACUCAGGUUGGAACUCAUCUGAUUAGCCUUGCAAAGGAAGUAUUUCUGCCUGAAGCACUACAUUCUACAAACAAAUAUAAGGCACUGAGAAAGUUAAAAGAAAAGCUGGUCUCAGAACUGCAACCUCUUCGUCAAACAUUACAGUCCAUCAGUUUUCUUCAGUUGGAUGAGAACCCCAAAGUCGCUCAAACUGCGACAUCCUUUCUUCGAAGUGCUUUAGCAAACAACGUAUUUAGAACAAAGGCUUUGGCCUACUACACAGAAAUCUUGCAAGAAAGAGACAUACAACAACGAAGAGCUGCCUGCCUGGCACUUAAGCAGCUGAAGGGAGAAGCUAAAAUCAGAUGUAUCGGUAUUAUAGUGGAAUAAAGGAAAUUACAGCGGCAUGAGAGAGGAGUUGGCCAAAGUUGAAUGGAAGGGGACACUAGCAGGGAUGACAACAGAGCAGCAGUGGCUGGAGUUUCUGGGAGCAAUUUGGAAAGUGCAGGAUUGAUACAUCCCAUAGAAGAAGUAUUCUAAAGAGAAGAUGAGGCAAAUGUGUCAGACAUGGGAAGUCAAAGACAGCAAAAAAGCAAAAGAGAGAGCAUAUAUUUCAAAAAUCAGUGGGAAGUUUUAAAAAACCAACAAAAUUCAACUAAAAAAGCAAAAAGGAAAAAAAAAUAUUUUCAGAGUAAAAGAAAGGUGAAAGGUGAUAUCAAACCACUAAAAAAUGAUGCUAGUGAGGUGGUAGUAGGGAACAAAGAAAUGGCGGACAAACUUAUUAAGUUCUUUGCGUUAGUCUUCACCUUGGAAGACAUUAGCAGCAUGCCAGAAAUUGUCAGGGGGUAGAAGUUUGUGUAAUUUUCACAAUAUUCAAGAGUAUCAGGGGGCAGAAGUGAGUGUAGUUGUUAUUAAUAACGAGAAGGUGCAUGGGAAGCUGAAAGAUCCAGAGGUACGUUGAUAGGUUGCCGGGACCAGAUGUGUAAGUGAAAAUGUCACUCCAAACUCUAAGAAGGGAGGUAGGCAAAAGAAAGGAAAUUUUAAGACAGCUAGCCUGACUUCAGUGGUUAGGAUGAGGUUUCAGGGUACUUGGAGGCACAUGAUAAAGUAAGCCAAAGUUAGCGUAGUUUCCUUCAGGGGAAAUCUUGCAGACAAAUUUGUUGAAAUUCCUUGAGGAAAUACCAAGCAGGAUAGAUAAAGAAGAGUUGGUGGAUGUUGUUUGCUUGGAUUUUCAGUAAGUCUUUGACAAUGUACCACAAAUGAGGCUGCUUAACAAGAUAAGAGCCCAUGGUAUUACAAGAAUGAUGGAAGAUUGGCUGUCUGGCAGGAGGCAAAGAGUGGGAGUAAAGGGGACAUGGUCUGGUUGGCUGCCAGUGAUUAGUGGUGUUCCAUAGGGGUUGGUGUAGAGACCACUUCUAGAAGUGGUAGAUGCAGGGAAGUGUAUGGUCAUUCAUUUUGGUAGAAAUAAUAUAAGUGUAGAGUAUGUUCUAAAUAGGAGAAAAUUCAGAAAUCAGAGGAGCAAAGAGACUUGGAAGUCCUUGUGCAAGAUUUCUUAAAGGUUAAUUUGCAAGUUAAGUUGGUGGUUAGGAAGGCAAAUGCAAUGUUAGCAUUCUUUUUGAGAAAACUAGAUUGAUAAAAGCAAGGAUGUAAUGAUGAGUCUUUAUCAGGCAUUGAUCCUGCUGCUGUAGAAGUAUUGUGAGCAGCUUUCGCCCCUUAUCUAAGAAAAGAUUGUUGGUUUUAUGAGGGUCCAGAGGAGGAUCACAAGAAUGAUUUCAGGAAUGAAACGAUGAACAUAUGAAGGGCGUUUGAUGGCUCUGGUCUUGUACUUGAUGUAGUUUAGAAGAACAUUGAAACCUAUUGAAUAUUGAAACACCUAGAUAGAGUGAAUAGGGAGAGGAUGUUUCCUAUAGUAGGGGAAUCUAGGACCAGAGUGCGCAUCCUCAGAAUUGAGGGACAUUCCUUUAGAAUAGAGAUGAGAAGGAAUUUCUUUAGCUGGAUGGUGGUGAAUCUGUGGAAUUCUUUACCACAGAUGGCUGCAGAUGCCACGUCAUUGAGUAGAUUUAAAGUGGAAAUUGAUAGAUUCUUGACUAGAAAGGGUGGCAAAGAUUAUGGUUGAGAAGGAUAAUAGAUCAGCCAUGAUGUGAUGGCAGAAUAAACUCAUAGCCUAAAUGGCCUGAUUCUGCUCCUAUGUCAUAUGAUCUUAUGGAGUGGAGAAUUUACAGGUCAAAUUGAAUUUGUCCUGUUUCUUUUGUUAAGUAUAAACCUGCUUAUUUUCCUCUGUCAAGUUGAUGAACAGCUUAAUGGAGAUGCAGCUAAUUAUAAUAUACAAUCCUUCAGCUCUACAAUUACGGUGUUACAAAAAUGCCCCCUGUCUUUGCUGAAUCUAGUAUGUUUAGCCAUUUUCAGAUUUUACAAAGUGCAUCAAAUUGAUUGAGAAUCCCAUUCUGUAAUGGUGGAAAUCUCAAGGGAAGGACACAUCCAAAUACUGGCACUGGCUGAAUAGUUGGAAAUUCAUCAACAUUGUCCUUCAUUGAGGAUCUGGAAGCUCAUAGGACCUUCUCCUCUCAUUGAACUGUUGAUGUAUUCACUGCAGUCAUCAUUGUAUAUAAUAGCACUGCUGAUCACAAAUCUGAUCAGUUGAUUUGGGAUUGGUAAUUUCUUGCAUUAGCAUGCUGUUUCUCCUCUUUAGCACUGAUGCAACCUUGUGUAUCAUUUCCACCAGACUGAGACUCAACAGAAGUCCAUGGGGUUGGAGGUGUUGGAUCCAAUAGUUUAUCUUUUAGAUUAGACUGUGUAAUUAUUUUCUUUUCAGUUUCACAAUUAAUUAUCUGCUUGUAUUUUAAGUAGUCUUAUACGCAUGUAACAGUUUAAUAUGCCUCUAGUAGCUAUACAAAGUACAAGUCUGGAAAGCUCUGGAAGCUUCUUUGACCUGCACUAAAUGAGCUGUGGAAAGCAUUGAACAAAUCACCAGCUUAUGCCACUCUCAAGCAGCACAAGUUCACAAUGCAGCAAGAGAAACCCUCCUGUCAUUUG